rnacentral:piRNA from 1 species
AGCACUUCAGUAUUCACAUGGUGUGAGGGC